rnacentral:rRNA from 1 species
UGGGGAAUAUUGCGCAAUGGGCGAAAGCCUGACGCAGCGACGCCGCGUGAGGGACGAAGGUCUUCGGAUUGUAAACCUCUUUCAGCAGGGACGAAGCGAAAGUGACUGUACCUGCAGAAGAAGCACCGGCUAACUACGUGCCAGCAGCCGCGGUAAUACGUAGGGUGCAAGCGUUGUCCGGAUUUAUUGGGCGUAAAGAGCUCGUAGGCGGUUUGUCGCGUCGGAUGUGAAAACCCAAUGGCUUAACCUUGGGCCUGCAUUCGAUACGGGCAAACUAGAGUGUGGUAGGGGAGACUGGAACUCCUGGUGUAGCGGUGGAAUGCGCAGAUAUCAGGAAGAACACCGAUGGCGAAGGCAGGUCUCUGGGCCAUAACUGACGCUGAGGAGCGAAAGCGUGGGGAGCGAACAGG